CUGUGUUUUCAAUCGAUAUUUCAUUCUCCUCACAAACAAUUUAAGAGAAAACUAGGUUUUUAGAAUCGACUGCUACAUGCUAAUAAAGCGAAAGUGAUUUAUUUUUGGAAAUAAUAGACCAAUAAAGGAGUUUCUUUUUUAUUUCAUGCAUGUCCGAAGAAAUUACUUAACUCCAAUCUGGAUUCAAUAUUAGGAAGAGGAGAGAUGUAAAUCAUUCAGUAAGCCGUGUCACAUCGGCAAACUCAAAACUCAAUAUUUUCUGUUGAUCAGUGUCACAGAAAUCUAACACUGGAAAGCCACACGAUAAAGAAACAGGAGCAGUAAAAUACAGUGUCCUUUCUCUAUGGUAAAAUAUUACUGCCAGGAGUGCCAGAGAAGGGCAACUAAACCACCUGAUGCAAAACCUAUCAAAAUAAUUGAAAAAAAAAUUGUAAAUGAUUAAUCCAUCAUAUAAAUAUUUCCCCAGCAGGAAAUUUCAUAUUAUUUGUGAAAGUAUCAAUAAACAUACUUAAAAUUA